AAUAGAUACCCUGGUAGUCCACGCCGCAAACGGUGGGUACUAGGUGUGGGUUUCCUUCCUUGGGAUCCGUGCCGUAGCUAACGCAUUAAGUACCCCGCCUGGGGAGUACGGCCGCAAGGCUAAAACUCAAAGGAAUUGACGGGGGGCCCGCACAAGCGGGCGGAGCAUGUGGAUUAAUUCGAUGCAACGCGAAGAACCUUGCCUGGGUUUGACAUGGCACAGGACGCUGGUAGAGAUAUCAGUUCCCUUGUGGUCUGUGUGCAGGUGGUGCAUGGCUGUCGUCAGCUCGUGUCGUGAGAUGUUGGGUUAAGUCCCGCAACGAGCGCAACCCUUGUCUCAUGUUGCCAGCACGUGAUGGUGGGGACUCGUGAGAGACUGCCGGGGUCAACUCGGAGGAAGGUGGGGAUGACGUCAAGUCAUCAUGCCCCUUAUGUCCAGGGCUUCACACAUGCUACAAUGGCCGGUACAACGGGUUGCCAAACCGCGAGGUGGAGCUAAUCCCUUAAAGCCGGUCUCAGUUCGGAUUGC
rnacentral:rRNA from 1 species